rnacentral:rRNA from 1 species
CACGUAGGGGGCGAGCGUUGUCCGGAUUUAUUGGGCGUAAAGAGCUCGUAGGCGGCUCAGUAAGUCGGGUGUGAAAACUCCAGGCUCAACCUGGAGACGCCACCUGAUACUGCUGUGGCUUGAGUUCGGGAGAGGGAUGUGGAAUUCCAGGUGUAGCGGUGAAAUGCGUAGAUAUCUGGAGGAACACCGGUGGCGAAGGCGGCAUCCUGGACCGAC